rnacentral:rRNA from 1 species
GCCGCGGUAAUUCCAGCUCCAAUAGCGUAUACUAAAGUUGUUGCGGUUAAAAAGCUCGUAGUUGGAUCUUGGAAUGUGUUCAAGCGGGUCAGCUUCUGGCUGUGCGCUGCUUGACGUGUUCUUCUAUUUGGUUUUGGUGCGGUGCGCUUAACUGCGUGUCGCUCCCGGCCGAAACGUUUACCUUGAAAAAAUUAGAGUGUUCAAAGCAGACCUGUUUGAGUCUGAAUAUUCGUGCAUGGAAUAAUGAAAUAUGAAUUCGGUUCUAUUUUGUUGGUUUUCGGAACUCGAGUUAAUGAUCAAGAGGGACAGACGGGGGCAUUCGUACUCUGCCGUUAGAGGUGAAAUUCUUGGAUCGGCGGAAGACGCGCAACUGCGAAAGCAUUUGCCAAGAAUGUUUUCUUUAAUCAAGAACGAUAGUCGGAGGUUCGAAGACGAUCAGAUACCGUCCUAGUUUCGACUGUAAACUAUGCCAGCUAACGAUCAGACAGAGUUCUCUACGACUUGUCUGGCAGUUUCCGGGAAACCAAAGCGUUUGGGUUCCGGGGGAAGUAUGGUUGCAAAGCUGAAACUUAAAGGAAUUGACGGAAGGGCACCACCAGGAGUGGAGCCUGCGGCUUAAUUUGACUCAACACGGGGAAACUCACCCGGCCCGGACACAGUGAGGAUUGACAGAUUGAGAGUUCUUUCUUGAUUCUGUGGGUGGUGGUGCAUGGCCGUUCUUAGUUGGUGGAGCGAUUUGUCUGGUUAAUUCCGAUAACGAACGAGACUCUGGCAUGUUAAAUAGUCGCGGAAGUGCGUAUGCACUUGCCGAAUUGACUUCUUAGAGGGACUAGUGAUUUUAAUUCACACGAGAUUGAGCAAUAACAGGUCUGUGAUGCCAGGCGAUCGUUAACUUGCAGAC